AAGAAAAUGAGACGAUCUGGUUUCAAGACUGCCACUAGGUGACACUGCCAAGAGAAGGGAGAAUUGCCUCUGCAUGUCAGCACUUGGAUCGAGCGGAUGAACUCUUGAAAGCUAUGCCUUGGCAUAAAUCAGAGGGGGAGAGUCAGAAAUGCAAACACUGUGUGUGGAAAGAAAAACAGGCCUGAAGAAGAUGACCACAGCUUCAAAAACCACUUUAGCGCAAAAUGUUGUCUGACAGAAAGAAGACACCUCACUCUAAGAAAAUAUAUCUGAAACAAACUAUAGCAUAUUUCUCUUUGGAACAAAAUAUUUUCUGAUAUGGGGUACAGGGAGAAGACAAGAUGGAAAAGCUCACGGGUCUGAACAAAGACAGAGAGAUUGCUUACCAGUUGCCAUCAUGGUCAGAACAGACUCAACUGCUGAUUAAAAAUAGAGUGGAAUGGUGAGAAACAAGGAUAAAAUGAAAACUUCUUUCCCCCUAAACCUUCUGACUUCUUCCAGGGACAAUUUCAUUCCUUAAUUUCUGACUCUUUUACCUCUUUGCCCAUGAGUGGUGCAGGUGGAGGAGGACUGAGGGUUGUGUUCAGUCCAUAACAGUGCCUCCCUGCCGUUCCAUCCUGUUCACAUCUGGAGCACUUUCUCCCCCUCUUUCUUCACUGACCUUGGUGUUUCUGCAGGGCUGCUUCUCCUAUGUUUUUCUUACUCCUC